GGAUCUAAUCAAGGUGGGAACAACGGUUACAUUGCUAGAAAAUUUGGUUCACUCCCAUGUGAAGUGGGUCAGCAUGGAAACCAAUAUAGCACGGAAACCAAUAUAGCACUUGGUUUCCUACAUCUUCUCUUUCUUGUAACAGCUGUGGUGCUACUAGCCAUACCUCAACAAAUUGCCCUAGUAUCAUGAAUGCCCCCAGGCAAUCUGUGGGAGGGGCAUGCGCCAGUAGUGGAUCUGCUAUGGCCAGUAGUGGUGGUGCUGGAGGUGAAUGCUAUAAAUGCCAUCA
rnacentral:misc_RNA from 1 species